CAGUAGCCGCGGGAAUACGUAGGUGGCAAGCGUUGUCCGGAAUUAUUGGGCGUAAAGGGCUCGCAGGCGGCUUCUUAAGUCUGAUGUGAAAGCCCCCGGCUCAACCGGGGAGGGUCAUUGGAAACUGGGAAUCUUGAGUGCAGAAGAGGAGAGUGGAAUUCCACGUGUAGCGGUGAAAUGCGUAGAGAUGUGGAGGAACACCAGUGGCGAAGGCGACUCUCUGGUCUGUAACUGACGCUGAGGAGCGAAAGCGUGGGGAGCGAACAGGAUUAGAUACCCCCGUAGUCCCUGUCUCUUAUAC
rnacentral:rRNA from 1 species